AGCAUGUAUGUGAGAAAACUUACAAUACGUGUUAAUUCGUCGGAACGGUAAGACGUAUCGGAAAGAAAUUCGUGUUAAAUUUUAUAAGUGAAAUAUAAAUUUUGUGAUGAAGAAUAUUGCGAUAAUUAAACAGCACAAUGAAAAUGUUCCUCCAUGUUUUCUUAAUAAUUAUGCUGAUAAUGUUCAGUCUAAUAUCAUUUGGAAAGUCAAAAAGAGUCCAUCCAGCAACACAGCCUUCGUCUACGACCAACGCAUAUCCUACACCAACUGCACCACCUGCAAGGCCUACAGCUAAUAUUAUAGACACUCCGAAUUUUAAAGAAGUGAUUUGCCCACCAGGGAAACUAAAAGAUCCACGCGGAAUAUGUCGCGACAAGCAAUAGCAUUAAAGACAAGCAGGCUUAAUACUAUUUGAAUACUAUGUGAAACGUUCCACAUCACAAAAAUCACGCAUCAAACAAUACAGCAGAUGUGAAAAAUUAAUACAAGGGACAUAAAAUAACAUAUGACAACUUACAAAUGUGAAUAAAUAUUAAUUAUCACUAAUGAAGUCAAUUAUUCUGACGUUCUAUAUAUCUCCUGGAAUAAUCUGUAAUCUAUAAUAAUUUACAGAUGCUUAUGGUAACGAAAAGUACUAUAAGAAUUAUGUAUGUGUAAUAGUAUAAUAUGUUGGAACUGUAUGAAAAAUUAUUCGAUUAAAAAGUCUUAACAAAACCAAUUCAGCAAGAGACACAACAGUGUCUCGCGCCAAGUGCACGCGAGAGCGACGUGACGUGCAUGGGCCGCGAGACCGAUCGGGGUCUCUUUACGCGAAUCAAGAGACACAGCAGUGUCUCGCGCCAAGUGCACGCGAAAGCGACGCGACGCGCAUGGGCCGCGAGACCGGCCGGGUAUCUUUACGCGAAGCACUUGGUUGAUCGGACACAAGAUUAUCGUAUCACCCAAACUGCUAAUCUGAUCGAGUUCUAAGUGAGCUCAAUAAAUUCCUUGGAGUCGACUUACAUAACAACACUGUCUUUACUUUUAUCCUACGUGCACUAUUUUUUAGUAAAAAUUUCUAAAAUAAGAAACGUCAGCACGGUUUACUAAAAGUGCAUACAGGACAUAAAUUCAAUUUCCAAUCUCCUCUAAGAAGUAUGUAUCAAGUAAAAUGUUUCGGAAGACUAUGUAAGUAUUUCUUAAUAUCAAAUAAAUAAUGAAAUUCUUCGCGGCAGAUAAACCAAGAUUAUUUAGUAUCCUUCGACUAUUUCAGAUUUAUAAAUGUUUCUUAUACUGUAGAUAUGAUAAUUUGUCACAUGUGUACAAGCAGGAUAACGUACAUUUAAAACUUGUUUUGCUCAUGAUUACGUAAUACGAAAGAUUACAAAAAUAUACUAUAAAUAAGAUGCACGUUGCCGGAACUCUCAAUAUGUAUUAAUUCGUUGGGAUGCUAAAACGUAUCGAGAAGAUUGUAAUUUGUAUUAAAUUUUUAUAAGUGAAAUACAGAUUAACUUGCAAAAACUGUGUUAAAACUGUGUUUAAAGGAACUUGCAAAAUUCUACAAAAACAAUUUAUCAAUAUAAUAAAAAAGGUUUAAAAAAAAAGUUGUUUUCUAAACAUCAGUUCCUUGGCUUUAAAGUCAGUGAAGAAUUUCGAAAUCAUUAAACAGUAUAAUGAAAAUAUUUUUGCAUAUUUCCUUAAUAAUAAUGCUGAUAACGCUCAACCUAAUCAUUUGGAACGUCAAAAAGGACCCGUCGAGAACAAACAACACAGUUCCCGCAUACUGCUGAAAUAUAUCCAACAGGUUAUAGUAUUCACCCAGGAUAUCAUUUUAUAGAUACCCCGAAUCUCAGAGCUGCGAUUUGUCCACCAGGGUAACUAAAAGACUCACGCGGUGUAUGUCGAGAUAUUGCGGGAUAAGCCAUAACAUUGAAGACAAGCAAAGAAUCUAAAUAUUUGAAGCAUAUCACAAAAAUUAUCAAACAAUACAACAGGUGCGAAGAGGUUAUUCAAGAAACAUAAAAUAACAUAU